AGAUGACUUUGGUCAAGAAAGAGAAAAAUGUGACAGUUGGCCACUGCAGGAAGCCAGUUCCCAGGACCUGGAUUUUAUGAAGUGUUGGAAAUAGGGAUAGUACUUUAUUUGACUGGAGACUCCUGUCCUCCUUUUGCUGCCUAUAUUGCUGUAUGUAAUUUCUGUUGUGAGAUGUGUGGAUUUGUCAUAUAUGGAAAUGAACUGGUGGUUCACGCAUUCUAAAGACAGGUUCGGGCACACGCAAACACGUUUUACUCUUUAACUUUCUCUCUCUCCCUUUCAAAAUCCCUGGACACUUGCACCACAGUGUGAAGCUACUGCUGUGGCUUAGUUCAGUUGUGCUGUUUUAUAACCUUGCUUUUGGCCAGUUACCAAUUCCCUCUGAUUUUUGCCUUAAUUGCCAGGGGGACAAAGGUGCGAUGGGAAUCCCUGGGCGGCCGGGACUAAAAGGGCAAUCUGGAGAGAAGAGAGAAAAACACCACACAGAAGGGGAAAGUAGGAUAGAGAUUCUUCAUGCUUGUGUUCACUGUUUGCUCACUGGAGCCAACCAGCAUCCAACAGACAAGAAUUUCCCACCGGAAGCCAUUCUGCUUUUUUCUCUGCGUAUCCUUGCAUUUGUUUCUGACCAAAGUUUUCAUGAAGGGACAGCAGAUAGAUACAAACAAACAAUGGAAAAAAAGUCACUCCUAAUUGCUCCUGCUGCCCCAGAGGCCUCCCUGAGAGCCCUAAGUCUUUGGCAGUCCAUAGCUUUGUUUUGCAGAGUACUUUGCUUUCUUGCAGGCUGCUUGGUUUAUGGGGUGCUCUGUCCCAAAGCUCCUCAGCCAUGGGCACUUCGGGAGCUCCCUCUCAGGAAUACACCAUGUUUCCAAAGAGAGUGGCAUGUCCUGCCCAUCACACACUGUGGGUGGCUAGGAGUUGGAGAGGCAGCUGUUUCCUUUUCCAGCAAGCACUUUGCUUUGUUUUCAUCCACGUCUCAACUGAGUUUGAGAAGUACACAAGCGAGGCAUUUCUGGAAGCAGCCAAAUAAGCUGCCUGCAGCUCCCAUUUCCCUGGAGCCCAGCACAUCCCUCUUUUUCUUUCUUCUGCAGGACGUGAGCCUCCUGGAACUCGCAGGAAGGAAACAGAAAGGGUUUCAGGCCAUCUUUCACACUUGCAAUGGGGCAGAACCUCUGUUUUGCCAGAAGGGUGCUCCAGGAGAAGCUGGCAUGUCUGUCAUUGGGCCCCGCGGUCCACCCGGACAGCCUGGAACAAGAGGUUUUCCUGGAUUCCCGGGCCCUAUUGGCUUGGAUGGCAAACCGGGGCAUCCUGGACAGAAGGGAGAGAUGGGUGCUGCAGGUCCCAG
rnacentral:lncRNA from 1 species